ACUCCUACGGGAGGCAGCAGUGGGGAAUAUUGCACAAUGGGCGCAAGCCUGAUGCAGCCAUGCCGCGUGUGUGAAGAAGGCCUUCGGGUUGUAAAGCACUUUCAGUCGUGAGGAAGGUAGUGUAGUUAAUAGCUGCAUUAUUUGUACGUUAGCGACAGAAGAAGCACCGGCUAACUCCGUGCCAGCAGCCGCGGUAAUACGGAGGGUGCGAGCGUUAAUCGGAAUUACUGGGCGUAAAGCGCAUGCAGGUGGUUGUUAAGUCAGAUGUGAAAGCCCGGGGCUCAACCUCGGAAUAGCAUUUGAAACUGGCAGACUAGAGUACUGGUAGAGGGGGUUAGGAAUUUCAGGUGUAGCGGUGAAAUGCGUAGAGAUCGUGAAGGUAAUACCGGUGGCGAAGGCGGCCCCUGGACAGAUACUGACACUCAGAUGCGAAAGCGUGGGAGCAAACAGGAUUAGAUACCCCGUGUAGACUGUCA
rnacentral:rRNA from 1 species